rnacentral:rRNA from 1 species
CAAUAGCGUAUAUUAAAGUUGUUGCGGUAAAAAAGCUCGUAGUUGGAUUUCUACCGAAGAUAGCCGGUCGGGUCUUCGACCUUGUAUCUGGUUUUGUCUUUGGUAUCCUCAUAGGGAACGUUUCUGCGCUUUAUUGCGUGGUGCGGUAUCUAUGACUUUUACUUUGAGGAAAUUAGAGUGUUCACGGCAGGCAAACGCCUUGAAUAUAUUAGCAUGGAAUAAUAACAUAGGAUCUUCGUCCUAUUUUGUUGGUUUCUAGGGCUAAGAUAAUGAUUAAUAGGGAUAAUUGGGGGCAUCUGUAUCUACGCGUCAGAGGUGGAAUUCUUGGAUUGCGUUGCGACAAACUACUGCGAAAGCAUUUGCCAAGGAUGUUUUCAUUGA